GGGGAGAUAGCUCAGUGGUAGAGUGUGUGCUUGGCAUGCACGAGAUCCUGGGUUCAAUCCCCAGUGCCUA
rnacentral:tRNA from 1 species